rnacentral:tRNA from 1 species
GUUUUAAUAGUUUAAAUAAAACAUUGGUCUUGUAAAUCAAAAUUAAAUUCAUAAUUUUUAAAACU